GACGGAGGGGGCUAGCGUUGUUCGGAAUUACUGGGCGUAAAGAGCGCGUAGGCGGUUUGGUAAGUUGGAAGUGAAAGCCCGAGGCUUAACCUCGGAAUUGCUUUCAAAACUGCUAAUCUAGAGUGUAGUAGGGGAUGAUGGAAUUCCUAGUGUAGAGGUGAAAUUCUUAGAUAUUAGGAGGAACACCGAUGGCGAAGGCAAUCAUCUGGGCUACAACUGACGCUAAUGCGCGAAAGCGUGGGGAGCAAACAGGAUUAGAUACCCUGGUAGUCCACGCUGUAAACGAUGAGUGCUAGAUAUCGGGGGAAUUUCCUUCGGUUUCGUAGUUAACGCAUUAAGCACUCCGCCUGGGGAGUACGAUCGCAAGGUUA
rnacentral:rRNA from 1 species